AAAAAAACUGAAAAAAAAA
rnacentral:sRNA from 1 species